AUAACGAUUCGCAAUAGAAAAAAAAGGUCCCGAACAGGUGCUGCAUCGCCCCCACCGCAUCGCCUCGAUUGGCACCGGCGUAGGCCACCCCGCCGCUCGACCUCGCCUCGCACUGGAGGCGACCAACACCAUCCUCCUCGCUCCCUCCCCUCCCCCAACCCGAUAUAGAUGCCUAACCCGCGGGAACGGGCAGGCGGCCGGCAGGCGAUGCGAGGCGCGGUGGCGGCGCGAGGAAGACAGGUAGAUCCUGGCGUGGCGUCGACCGAUUUGGCGGCUUGUUCCGGUGCCAGUGGCGUCCUGCUCAUCCAGAUAAGGAAAGAGAAGGGCCCGAGGGAGAGAGGAAACAGAGGAAGAAAGGAGAAGGAGAAGGGGCACACGCAGGGUGAGGGAGGCAGUCGCCGGUGAUGGUGGCUCCACUGACUGGCCGACGGGCUUGCUAGGCAAGGCUAAGGAGUACGCUAGCCUGAGAUUCGAUAGAGAGGGAAGAAGUUGUGGUGGUGGCGAAUUAUGCAACCAAUGUCUCUCACGACCGUCGGCCCCUGCUCGUGACAUCUCUACUGGAGCCGCCUCUGCCUACUCUGGUGUGUUGCAGCUCCUUACUCUAGCCACGUGUUGCUUGCUCUCCCACUAGCCUCUGCCUCCUGUGGUCUCGAAGUUGAUGACACCCUGAUGCAAAGCUCCCACAAUCAUCCGCUCCAUCUCAGCAAAAAACAUGUCCAGCUGCAGAAAAGGAGUUUGUAUCCAGCUUGACCUCCAUAGCAGGAAGAUUUUAGUAAUCGUUCUAUCAAUGUUCUAUUAAUGGAGAGAGGGGGAGAGCAAUGGAAAUAACACCCCGUCGUGGUCCUAGUGCUUCUCUCCGUGGGUUCGCUUGCUCACCUCGGCAUUUGCGGCUUCUACAGGUACGUACUAGACAACUACCCAUUGUUUUUGUUUUCUACUGACAAUUUGAUCGCUUCAUCAAUCCUUCUAGAGGGUCUUGACAGGAAGGACUGAGCAGCCACUGUGCUGGAGUAGAUUGUGUGACAGGUUUUUUCCUCUCUAUCCUACCCGUGAUUGGUUUCUUUGGUGAAGAAAGCAUCACUAUCUUUCAAUACAUCAUGGAUGAUCAACAUGUAUGUCUUCAUGGUACAAGAAUGAAGAUUAACUGUUCAAUCUAUUGAUUCAGAGUGAGACAAGGGUGAAACAGAAUAAGCUCAUUUUUGUGAUUUAUACAUGGUGGAAUUCCAGAAUAGAGGGUUGACUCAUACUCAUACUUCAAUUCGGCUUAUAGGGAACAAUCAUGAACCUUCGGCCUCCUUCAUAGAUGGUUUGAUUUCAGCUGAGAUACCUGAACCUUUGGUUGAGCCCUGGGUUAUGCUCUUAUGGAUUAAUUUAUGGUUCACGGUCCAUGUGGAGAAUACAAAGUAAAGUGUGCAUGUAUGAAAGAUGGAUUGUGUUCCAAAAGAUUUCCCAAAGAUUUUAAUGAGCAGACAUCACUUGAUGAUAGAGGCUUUCCUAUAUAUCAUAUAUCAUAGACAUGAUUUGGGUUACUAUGUGAGGAACAAGGGUACUGUUAAGCUGGAUAAUCGAUGGGUAGUGGCGCACUGCUUACAACUUCUUAAAAGAUUCUAAGUGCACAUUAAUGUUGAGUGGUGCAACAAGACAAAUUUGCUCAAAUAUUUGUUCCAGUAUCUCACUAAGGGCCAUGAUGUUGCUCGCAUAAGGUUUCAACCUAUGGUCGAAUGUUGAGCAUUUGUUGCCCUUGGUGUGGCAACUAGAAGAAAUGAAAUUUUAAAAUUUGUUGAGUGCAGAUAUCUUUCUGCUUGCGAAGCAUACUGCCAUAUGUUUGCUUUCAAUAUACAUGGUCGUGAGCCUGCAGUGGAGAGAUUGGUUGUGCACCUUCCUCGAGUCUUCAUAAGGAGUUACCUUGGAACCAGGAAAGUUGCUUUAAUUUUUGUUGAGAAGACGACGAAAAAUAAUGGAUACAAUUAUGGAGUAAAUAAAUUACUUUGGCUGAACAACCUACAACAAACUGACCCAUUCUUGUCAUACUACUAUCUUCUGUCAUUUUCAUGGUAUUUUCUAGCUCUUAGUCUGCAAGUGUUGCCAACUCUAAUGACUCACGACGCAGACUCGCAUAUUGCAUGAUCACAUCUUAGCUUUCUUGGUAAUUCUGCACUUCGAAGGAAGUUUGUUUCUUUUCGGGAAACCAAGGUAGUUUAUUUUGAUCCAAAUCCAAUAAUAAAAUUUGAUCAAUUCCUGUAUAAUCUAUGGAAGUUGCAUAUAUUUGUCAGGAUUAAUCAGCUUGAUUGAUAAGUUAUAUUUUUCAUUUUGCAGUCUGUAUCUGGUGAAACUUUAUAGGCCAGUUACACAUACAUAUAGAAAUAAUGUCAUUUUCCUUUAAAAAAGAUUAGCGUUGCAUGUUCAUAAUAGCAUUGGCCAAUAUUUUUUCACUGAAUAUAAUCUAAGAUGAGACAGAAGCAGAUGGACUACAAGCUAUAACUGA